UACAGAGGUGGCAAGCGUUGUUCGGAAUUACUGGGCGUAAGGGGCGCGUAGGCGGCCUUCUAAGUCAGACGUGAAAUCCCCCGGCUUAACCUGGGAACUGCGUCUGAUACUGGAAGGCUUGAGUAUGGGAGAGGGAUGUAGAAUUCCAGGUGUAGCGGUGAAAUGCGUAGAUAUCUGGAGGAAUACCGGUGGCGAAGGCGGCAUCCUGGACCAUUACUGACGCUGAGGCGCGAAAGCUAGGGGAGCAAACGGG
rnacentral:rRNA from 1 species